rnacentral:rRNA from 1 species
AGUCGACGGCAGGUAAGAGCUUGCUCUUACCCUAGAGUGGCGGACUGGUGAGUAACGCGUAGGUGACCUGCCCUGAAGAUGGGGAUAGCUAGUAGAAAUAUUAGAUAAUACCGAAUGUGCUUAUACGGAUAAAGCCGUAUAAGGAAAGGAGCUACGGCUCCGCUUUAGGAUGGGCCUGCGUCCCAUUAGCUUGUUGGUGAGGUAACGGCCCACCAAGGCGACGAUGGGUAUCCGGCCUGAGAGGGUGAACGGACACAUUGGGACUGAGAUACGGCCCAAACUCCUACGGGAGGCAGCAGCUAAGAAUCUUCCGCAAUGGACGAAAGUCUGACGGAGCGACGCCGCGUGAAUGAAGAAGGCUGAAAAGUUGUAAAAUUCUUUUGCAGAUGAAGAAUAAGGAGAUGAGGGAAUGCAUCUUCGAUGACGGUAAUCAUGCGAAUAAGGGGCGGCUAAUUACGUGCCAGCAGCCGCGGUAACACGUAAGCCCCAAGCGUUGUUCGGAAUUAUUGGGCGUAAAGGGCAUGUAGGCGGUUAUGUAAGCCUGAUGUGAAAUCUACGAGCUUAACUCGUAAACUGCAUUGGGUACUGCGUAACUUGAAUCACGGAGGGGAAACCGGAAUUCCAAGUGUAGGGGUGGAAUCUGUAGAUAUUUGGAAGAACACCGGUGGCGAAGGCGGGUUUCUGGCCGAUGAUUGACGCUGAGAUGCGAAGGUGCGGGGAGCAAACAGGAUUAGAUACCCUGGUAGUCCGCACAGUAAACAAUGUACACUAGGCGUUGGAGCAAGAGCUCAGUGCCGACGGCAACGCAUUAAGUGUACCGCCU